AUUAUAUGUAAUUAACAUAUAAUGUGUAUUUAAAAUUAAUUUAUCAAUUUAACUCCAAUAAAAUUAUGAAAUUUUUUUCAGGACCUGAAGAUGAAUUAUGAAAGGGUGUGACAAGUAUCAGUAAUGCAGGAAGAUGCAGAGAUAGAGCAAGAAGAGUAGUGAAAAGAGAAAGCUCCUAAAUAAAGAGCAAAUUAUUGGCAUGGGAAAAAUUCCGAUACAAUUUCCUGGUCUAAACACUCCUGUGUUUAGAGGAAAAGAAUUAAUUCAACAGCAAAAACUGCUUGUAAAUCUUGAAAGAAAGCAAAAACUUAUGGAAUUACCACAAAGUCAGACCAGACCGAUGCAAAUAAAAUUAUCGCCAUUGGAAUGUGGUUGGACGAGUGUUACAAUGGAUGGCAGAAGCAUUGAAUCAGAUCUUAUUGGAAAAGAUACAUUGAAAAUUUUGAAACCUGGAUUUUGGAAAACAAAAUGAUAACUUGUAUGACCGGUAAUUUAGCACGUAAGAAUAGAAUCAGUUCAUUUAUAGUAACCGGAAAUGGAAAUGGAUUAGCUGGAUUUGCGUUAUCAAAAGCCAAAGCAUCCCUAAAGACGGUUAAAAAUCCCUAAAGACGGUUAAAAAUAGGGUUGGUCAAAGACUAAUGUAUAUUCCUACAUAUAAGGAAUACACUGUGUUACAUGAUUUCUUUACACAGUUUGAGGAUAUAAAAAUAUUUGUAAAGAAAAUUCAUGAAGGAUAAUGAGCUUGUUUGUCAUCAUGCGAUAAAAGCAUGUUGCGAGAUAAUUGGCAUAAAGGAUAUGUAUGCCAAAGUACAAGGAGGAAUGUAAAAGCAUUCUUUAUUGGUUUAUUGCAACAGUGAUACAGAAGCAACAUUACAAGUACUAUAUUUACAGAUA
rnacentral:lncRNA from 1 species